AAAAAAAAAUAUAGUUCUUCUCUUUCGCAUCGCAUCUAAUCUGAAGCAAGUUCUUCUCUUUCGCCGUCUCUUCUUUCUAACCUUCAUCGCUGAUGUUCUUGGGUAAAUCACUGAAUCUAUUUGCUGGCAUCCUGUUUGGAUCUUUGGAUUUUGAUUUGAGGGGCCAAAUCCAAAUCCUUUGUUUGGAUAUCUUAAAAAGAGAUGGAUUUGGAUUUGAUCCAAAUCCAUCCAGGAUUUGAGGCAUCCAAAUACCUUGAUUUCAAAGCCUAUCAUGUUCUUCUUCAAGGAAACGCUCUCUUCUACGUUCUGAAACUGUAGCCACCAUCGUUCCCAGGGCUCCAGGUAUGCUAGGUCGUAGGCUUGGACCUUGGUUAGCUUCAAACUCCUUUGGUUUGUUGUAGAACACUGCAGAGUCAUACAGGCAAGAGUUCAAGUUCCUAGCCAUCAAACCUGGUUCAUUCCUUGUCAUAUCAGCAUCCGCUAUAGUACCAUUGCAAGCACCCUUCCUCAAUCCACAAAUGGAGGAGCUAAAUUUGGCAAUGGAGAGCUUUCUUCAAACCAAAUCUCAGUGCAUUAUAAGUUUCUAUAGCUUCUGAGCAACUAUUUGAGCUAAUUGGCUACAACUAUGAUCUUUAUUUGUAAAAUUACCAAGUAGUUGACGAGAAAAUUGUUGCAGAAAUAUUGAAUGUAAUUUUUAAGUAUUGAUAGCAUCGCAUUUUGGCAGACUUCGAAAUCUAAAAUUAUUUUGAAAUGCAGUCAUAACUUGCGGCUGGUUUGGUGUGUU